UACGUAGGGGGCAAGCGUUGUCCGGAUUUACUGGGCGUAAAGAGCGCGCAGGCGGCCAAGUCAGUCGAAUGUGAAAGCCCCCGGCUCAACUGGGGAGGGCCAUUCGAUACUGCUCGGCUCGAAGACAGGAGAGGGAAGUGGAAUUCCCGGUGUAGUGGUGAAAUGCGUGGAUAUCGGGAGGAACACCAGUGGCGAAGGCGACUUUCUGGCCUGUUCUUGACGCUGAGGCGCGAAAGCUAGGGGAGCAAACGGG
rnacentral:rRNA from 1 species